AGUGGGGGAUAACGUAGCGAAAGUUACGCUAAUACCGCAUAUGCCCUGAGGGGGAAAGGAGGGGAUCGCAAGACCUUUCGCUUUCGGAGUGGCCGAUAUCAGAUUAGCUAGUUGGUGGGGUAAAGGCCCACCAAGGCGACGAUCUGUAGCGGGUCUGAGAGGAUGAUCCGCCACACUAGGACUGAGACACGGCCCAGACUCCUACGGGAGGCAGCAGUGGGGAAUUUUGGACAAUGGGGGCAACCCUGAUCCAGCCAUGCCGCGUGAGUGAAGAAGGCCUUCGGGUUGUAAAGCUCUUUCAGCCGGAAAGAAAUCGCACCGAUUAAUACUCGGUGUGGAUGACGGUACCGGAAGAAGAAGCACCGGCUAACUACGUGCCAGCAGCCGCGGUAAUACGUAGGGUGCGAGCGUUAAUCGGAAUUACUGGGCGUAAAGCGUGCGCAGGCGGUUUUGUAAGACAGGUGUGAAAUCCCCGGGCUUAACCUGGGAACUGCAUUUGUGACUGCAAGGCUAGAGUGUGGCAGAGGGGGGUAGAAUUCCG
rnacentral:rRNA from 1 species